UUCACAAGAAGGUGUCUUUCAUGGGGAUUAAAACAUGAACGGCCCUUGUUGUGAGGA
rnacentral:pre_miRNA from 1 species